UUAAUCUCUGAGAUAGGGCUAAAUCACCAAGCUCCCAGGAUGGCCUCAAACUUGUGAUCCUCUUGCUUCAGCUUCCCAGAUUGCCGGGAUUACAGCCUGGUGGCACCACACCUGACGUUCUAGUCUGCAUCUUGAUGGUUUCACUGCAUAUCCAAUUUCUUGAGCAUCAGCGAUGGACCAAGAAAGAUGCCACACAUGGAUUUAUCUCAUUACACAACAAGAGAAAUCGAAGUCAUCCAUAGAAAGAUCAAAAUAGAGAACAAGAGACUAAAACACCGUUGCAGUGAAUUAGAAGAAAAAUAUGAAGCCUCAGAGCUGCAGAUAACACAAAUAUUGACCAUCUACAGACACCAGUUGCAGCAGAAAGAGCAGGUUUCACGAAGAAUGGACGUGGCGUCAUGGAGCUUCUGUGCUCAGAAUUUCUUUUGGGCUGUGACUUGUUUUUGCUGAUGUGAAGUCCAAACUCUGCUCAGGGUUUCAGAGCUUGUGUGCUGUUCUCUCUCCAAAUAAGGUUGGAUUUUCCAUGGCCUGUCCCUGCUGAUGGUAAAGCCGGGCUCUCUUUCAAAGCAUUACAGCGGCAUGUGAAUACUUGGUACCAGAUGCUUUUGUAUGUGAACAAUUUGGUUUGCCAACAGAAGUGCUUGGCAAAAUUUUGUCUUUGUGUGUGAAUUUUGCAUUGGGUGACAAAUACGACCUUGGCCGUCUUUCCAGCAUGAACACAGAAGUGGAGGUGUAUGUGAGAAUUGUUAAAUAAAUGAAUUUUGUGAACCCAGGCACCACUGUAUUUUCU
rnacentral:lncRNA from 1 species